AUGCUGUCCAACCGCACCGAGGGCGACGGCCGUCGCUUUCUCAACGACUCCACCGGUGCCAGCGCAUGUGUCGAUCUCCCGGAGCUCUCCCGCCACCACCUUGAGACCAGCACCGAGGGCCUUCUGCUCCUGCGCGGCAAGGCGAGCCACGCUGUGCGCCUCUUCAACCUGCUCACCAGGGCCUUCACCAACCUCCCGCCCAUCACCCCCGACCUCGGCAGAGCGUACAUUGUCUGGACGGGGCUGUUGGAGUCCUCGGAGCGCCUCAUCUACACUGGCAUCUCUGAAGAGACCUCCCCAGCGUCGGUUGUGCUCCUGAUGAUUGACCGUGGGCGUGCCAUAGUCUACGCCAAGCCUGGCGACCAGCGGUGGGCUGUGAUUGAGCAUGACGAGAUCGGGAGACCCAAUCGCUACGCAUCAUAUCGGCUAUCGUCGGCGUCAACCCUACAGGGGCGCUUCUACUUUGCGACUCUUGAGGGGAAUAUAAUGCAUGUGAGGCUCUGCCCUGAGCCUCAGUUGGUGCCGAUAGUCGUGAACCAGCCCAAAACCAGGGGAGAAGUGUCCUCCUACCUUGUCCCUCCCGACGACCACCGCUGCGGCGGCAUGCUCAUGGUGCGCUACUACCUCGACCUUGAUCACCUCAGCGCUGACGAGCGGAGAAUCAUGGCGCGCAGGAGGAAGCGCAUGGAUGCAAUCAGGGUGGAGAACAGGUUGAAGGAGUGCCGGUGGAACCUGAUCCAGGUGUUCGAGGUGAAUGUGGCGGAAAGAGGCUCGUCCCGGUGGAGGACAUUGGCCGCCACCGUGCGGUGUUUGUCGGGGAGGCGGCAUGCUUCUCCCUCUCUGCCAGGACGUUUCCGUGCGUGGCUGGGAAUGCGGUGCACCUGGGGGCGACCGGUGCCCGCUACCCUCCCGUCGGCGUGCGGUAUCUGGCGGACAAGAGUGCGGAUCCACCGUUUGAGUUCACCACUGACGGGCCAGCUUCUCCAGAUGAACCACUGA
rnacentral:rRNA from 1 species